AUUCCAUGGUGAGGACAGCUUCUGGUGUACCCCUUAAGACGUUCCCAGGCUUCACUGAGAGAUUGCCUUGCCUAAAGGAAUUGAUAUCACUUUUGAACUU
rfam:Arabis alpina cultivar Pajares chromosome 2, whole genome shotgun sequence.